GUGUGUUAGUGGAAGCGUCUGGAAAGGCGCGCGAUACAGGGUGACAGCCCCGUACACAAAAAUGCACAUAUUGUGAGCUCGAUGAGUAGGGCGGGACACGUGGUAUCCUGUCUGAAUAUGGGGGGACCAUCCUCCAAGGCUAAAUACUCCUGACUGACCGAUAGUGAACCAGUACCGUGAGGGAAAGGCGAAAAGAACCCCGGCGAGGGGAGUGAAAAAGAACCUGAAACCGUGUACGUACAAGCAGUGGGAGCACGCUUAGGCGUGUGACUGCGUACCUUUUGUAUAAUGGGUCAGCGACUUAUAUUCUGUAGCAAGGUUAACCGAAUAGGGGAGCCGAAGGGAAACCGAGUCUUAACUGGGCGUUAAGUUGCAGGGUAUAGACCCGAAACCCGGUGAUCUAGCCAUGGGCAGGUUGAAGGUUGGGUAACACUAACUGGAGGACCGAACCGACUAAUGUUGAAAAAUUAGCGGAUGACUUGUGGCUGGGGGUGAAAGGCCAAUCAAACCGGGAGAUAGCUGGUUCUCCCCGAAAGCUAUUUAGGUAGCGCCUCGUGAAUUCAUCUCCGGGGGUAGAGCACUGUUUCGGCAAGGGGGUCAUCCCGACUUACCAACCC
rnacentral:rRNA from 1 species